GAUGAACGCUGGCGGCGUGCCUAAUACAUGCAAGUCGAGCGAACAGACGAGAAGAUUGCUCCUCUAACGUUAGCGGCGGACGGGCGAGUAACACGUGGAUAACCUACCUAUAAUACGGGGAUAACUUCGGGAAGAAGGAGCUAAUACCGGAUAAUAUAAUGAACCGCAUGAUGCAAUAGUUAUAGACGGCUUUGCUGUCACUUAUAGACGGAUCCGCGUCGGAUUAGCUAGUUGGUAAGGUAACGGCUUACCAAGGCGACGAUGCGUAGCUGACCUGAGAGGGUGAUCGGCCACACUGGAACUGAGACACGGUCCAGACUCCUACGGGAGGCAGCAGUGGGGAAUAUUGGGCAAUGGGCGCAAGCCUGACGGAGCAACGCCGCGUGAGUGAAGAAGGUCUUCGGAUCGUAAAGCCCUGUUGUUGGGGAAGAACAGAUGUGUGAGUAACUACGGACGUCCUGACGGUACCUAAUGAGAAAGCAACGGCUAACUACGUG
rnacentral:rRNA from 1 species